UGGCGCACGGGUGCGUAACGCGUGGGAAUCUGCCCCUGGGUUCGGAAUAACAGCGAGAAAUUGCUGCUAAUACCGGAUGAUGACGAAAGUCCAAAGAUUUAUCGCCCAGGGAUGAGCCCGCGUAGGAUUAGCUAGUUGGUGAGGUAAGAGCUCACCAAGGCGACGAUCCUUAGCUGGUCUGAGAGGAUGAUCAGCCACAUUGGGACUGAGACACGGCCCAAACUCCUACGGGAGGCAGCAGAA
rnacentral:rRNA from 1 species